AAUGAACCACGGCCCAGGUUGCAAGCACAAGACCCGAAGGGUGCCUGUGUUGUCCAAACAUGUCGGCCUCAGCAUUCGGAUGGCACCGCUCAGACCCAGCAUUCGGACGGCACCGCUCAGACCCAGCAGUGGGAGCUUAAGGACUUUGAGAACUCACUCAUACAGCUCACGGCGAGUCUGGACUUCAAGGAGGAAGAUCCACAGGACAAACACGAGCUUAAUGACAUCAACCUGGAGAAGCUGCCGGAGUCAGAGGGCAUGGAUGAACUUAACAAACCGUGGCUGAGGUUACGGGCCCUUCUGAGGAACUACCAGAAGGACCUCAUGUUGGCUCUCGAUGUGUCCAGCUUUUACCAGCAGGCGGACAACCUCAUCAAGACCAUCAACAGCAAGGUAAAAGGUCCACCAUUAUGGAUUAUCUCCAUUUAAUGACAUCAUGUACGAAUGACAAGCAUCCCUUGAAAGCAUGCUGGUAGUAUGCCUUUAAUGGGCCUCUACGUUUUUUUUAUGUGGCUCUUUAAAUGUAAAUUCUUCUUCUUCUUCUUCUUCUUCUUCUUCUUCUUCUUCUUCUUCUGAUUGAUUACCAUGCUAAGUCAUAGCAUGAUUUGCAUGCUAUUUGUUUUCUAAUGGUUUUUCUAAUUUGCCCUUUACAGAGACAAAGUGUAUCACUCCCAAACAAUCAGGGAGGGUGUGUCGAUGCAGAUGUUGGUGAGAUCGCCAAUCAAAUCAGAAUGCUGGCGGAGUCGGCGUCUCGCCUCUCGGACCUCCACCCGACGCUGGCCACCAGGGUGACGCGUAAGCAGGCCGAGGUGAAGCACAGCUGGGCCCGGCUCCAGGACGCCCUCAGGAACCAGAGAACGGGCGAUCUUCAGAUUCUCCCGCAAUGUUCCGCCAACGAGGAGCUGUGCAACCCUGUGGCCACGGAACCCGAGGUGCUUGGAAUUAUGGGAAAAGACAUCAAAGAGGAGCAGAACCGCCUCAAAGGGGUUGAGGAUACACUUGACUCGUGGGAUAGAGGGAGGUUAAUGACAGACACGGUUCUAGAAAACAAUGCCAGGGUGGAGGAUGCCACCACUGACCAUGAACAGGAGGCAGUGGAGUGGAAGCAACAGGUGACUGACUCUAGCACUGUCCUCUUAGAAGACCGAGGCAAACUCCCCGAGCUGGUUGAGGAAUCCACCACAUCUGCUGAUAAGACGCGAUCCUGGUUGAGGGACAACAUUGCCACGGCAUUCGACCAGGAGAAACUGGCUGAAGAUCCGAGCUGUCCGAAGAUCGAGGAGCUGCUCGGACAAGUCGAGGUCUUGUGGGAGCUGUUGAGGAGACGAGAGGGGAGGCCAGGAACCUCCUCGGACAAACCAGCAGAGAAGGAGGAGGAGAAAGAGGAGGAGGGGGAGGAAGAAGUGGAGUUGGGUUUAGAGGGGGAGGAAUGCAGCAAAGGUUCCGCGCAGGCCAAAGUUCCCCCUGAGAAUGUGGGGGAGUGUGAUUCCGGAAUGCUAACAAAGUUCCUGGAGCACCUGGAGCAAAAGGACAGCCAUGGAAUGUGGCAGGUCGUUCACGGUCCCAGCGGACAGCAGCCCAACUGCUUCAGUGUCACGGCGAGGGAGACUCUGGAGGUGCGGGUGGAUCUGAGCAAAACAGGAAGUGAGAGGAAGCAGCCCCUGGCACAUGAUCAGGCGACAGAGCACCUCAUGAAUCUGGUAUGUGUAAUGUGAGAGUGUGUGUGUGUGUGUGUGUGUGUGCGCGUGUGGUGGUUUUGGGUGUGUGUGCAUGUGUGUGUGUUUGUGGCUGUGCACCUAAUGUGUGUAC
rnacentral:lncRNA from 1 species